UGUUUUUUUAGACUGUCACCGGGGGGGAGAGGAUCCCCACCUGAUUUUCAUUCAGGUCUUUUUGCCCAAAGCGGCUAGAGUUUACAGCAAGCUAGCAGCAUUGUAGCUAGCAUAGUUACAGGGGGAGGGCGAAGCAAUGAUGAGAUUACAUAAUAGGAUUAGAGAACACCAACAACCAAGCACCUAAUACUUGUGCCUCUUUCCUGUUGUGCCUGUACGCCCAAGCUUUUGCUUCAGAAGCGCAUGAAUGCAAAGUGGCCGCAAGAGUGGCAUGAUCCUGACGGAAGACGACACCAUUUCUGCGUUUCCACAAUUGCCAGCAGCAGAGGAGGACAAAGGAGUUGAAUUCUGCACCCGGAAGGCGAUCAGGGCGACUGAUGUUUGGCAGGUCCUGGGUGCCCAGAUCAUCAGCGACAGAGAAUCCGAUGGAGCUCCAAAAUUGGCGUGCAAACGGGCAGUGGAAGAUGAUGUGCGAAGGAGUUUCACUGUCUUGGUUACAUAUUUCACAACAGUCAUCAUCCACAAUCCCUUUUUUCUUCAGGUUCCAUUUGCACUGAAUUUUUCCUUGCAUAAGCAGCCAACAGAAGAAUUGUGCCCGCGGGGG
rnacentral:misc_RNA from 1 species